ACCGGGGCUAAUACCGGAUGGUUGUUUGAACCGCAUGGUNNNAACAUAAAAGGUGGCUUCGGCUACCACUUACAGAUGGACCCGCGGCGCAUUAGCUAGUUGGUGAGGUAACGGCUCACCAAGGCAACGAUGCGUAGCCGACCUGAGAGGGUGAUCGGCCACACUGGGACUGAGACACGGCCCAGACUCCUACGGGAGGCAGCAGUAGGGAAUCUUCCGCAAUGGACGAAAGUCUGACGGAGCAACGCCGCGUGAGUGAUGAAGGUUUUCGGAUCGUAAAGCUCUGUUGUUAGGGAAGAACAAGUACCGUUCGAAUAGGGCGGUACCUUGACGGUACCUAACCAGAAAGCCACGGCUAACNNNNNGCCAGCAGCCGCGGUAAUACGUAGGUGGCAAGCGUUGUCCGGAAUUAUUGGGCGUAAAGGGCUCGCAGGCGGUUUCUUAAGUCUGAUGUGAAAGCCCCCGGCUCAACCGGGGAGGGUCAUUGGAAACUGGGGAACUUGAGU
rnacentral:rRNA from 1 species